rnacentral:rRNA from 1 species
UCGAGAAUUUUUCACAAUGGGGGCAACCCUGAUGGAGCGACGCCGCGUGGAGGAUGAAGGCCUUCGGGUUGUAAACUCCUGUCAUGCGGGAACAAGCAAGUGAUAGUACCGCAAGAGGAAGAGACGGCUAACUCUGUGCCAGCAGCCGCGGUAAUACAGAGGUCUCAAGCGUUGUUCGGAUUCAUUGGGCGUAAAGGGUGCGUAGGUGGUGACGCAAGUCUGGUGUGAAAUCUCGGAGCUCAACUCCGAAAUUGCACCGGAUACUGCGUGACUCGAGGACUGUAGAGGAGAUCGGAAUUCACGGUGUAGCAGUGAAAUGCGUAGAUAUCGUGAGGAAGACCAGUUGCGAAGGCGGAUCUCUGGGCAGUUCCUGACACUGAGGCACGAAGGCCAGGGGAGCAAACGGGAUUAGAUACCCCGGUAGUCCUGGCAGUAAACGGUGCACGUUUGGUGUGGGCGGGUUCCGACCCGUCCGUGCCGGAGC